UCCCAGUUCGGAUUGUAGUCCGCAACCCGACUACAUGAAGCUGGAAUCGCUAGUAAUCGCGGAUCAGAAUGCCGCGGUGAAUACGUUCCCGGGUCUUGUACACACCGCCCGUCACACCAUGGGAGUCGGAAAUGCCCGAAGUCUGUGACCCAACCUACGGGAGGGAGCAGCCGAAGGCAGGUCGGAUGACUGGGGUGAAGUCGUAACAAGGUAGC
rnacentral:rRNA from 1 species